GUAGCCGAUUUUUGCCGCCACCCUUUGUCCACCUCCCUUUACCUCUUUUUCAGAAGAGGCUUAUUGGUCCACGACUUUCCGAUUAAGGGGUCGCUGGAAAGGUGGUGAACAGAAAAAGAUUCUACAGACAGGGUUUCUCUGUGGAAAGAAGGCUCUCUUGCUCUCUUGCUUGGUGGGAAGGCAUCUUCCUGGAACCAAUGGUCGUAAUAUCAAGGUAGGAAUAAUCAAGGUGACACAGAAAUGAACUCCUGAAUUCUGGAGGGGGACUGCAACCAGCAAUGCUCACAUCAGACAUGCAGAAUCAUGGCAGGGAAUCCACAUGGGAAUUUGAAAUUACAUGUACACAGAAGCUGUUAGAACUGAAAUUGAAGUCCAAGGGAAACUCCCUGCUGCACGAGGUCCGGCCGCAAAACUAGGGCAGGAAAAUACUUUGAGUGACCUAUUUUACCAGAAACCAGAAUAAGGGAUCCAAACAGCACAGACAUAGGACAGAGCUGGGAGUGGGACAGUGGGGCAGGAGUAAACCAGUAAACACGAAGCAGGCCACAGACCAGACCCCUCCAGGCCAGGGCUUCUUCCUCUCCAUCUGCCUCUGAUCACUAAUCUGGGAUGUCUUGAAAAACUAGAGGACUGCGACAAGUGUGGGGACUUGUUUAUAAUCCUAGCACUGGGCAGCUGAGGCAGGAGGACUACCAUGAGCCAGAGACUUACCUGCAAUGCAGAGCGAGUUCCAGGUAGACCUAGCCUAGAGUGAGACACAACCUGAAAUUGGGGUAGGGUAGAAUCUGUAAAGAAACUCCUGGAAACCGGGAAUUGGUGGCGCACACCUUUAAUUCCUGUACUCGGGAGGCAGAGUCAGGAGGAUCUCUGUGAGGAUCUACAGAGAGAGUUCCAGGACAGCAGCCUCCAAAACAAUACAAAGAAACCCUGUCUCGGAAAAAAAAAAGAAAGAAAGAAAGAAAAAAGAGAAAGAAACUCCUGGAACCAGAGCUUAUCUGGGAAGCCCAGACUUAAGGGGUUUCAAGUCAUUGCCAAGUGGGUAUCCUUCCCCUUCAGCCACUGUAGGGGAAACAGAGAUAACCAGGGACGUGGAUUUAUAUAUCUGACUGUGACACAAGAGGCCAGAUCAAGGGGCGUCAAGACUGGGUUGGGCUUUUUUUUCCCAAUUUAUUUUUUGUGUAUGGUUGUUUUGCCUGCAUGUGUGUCUGUGUGUGAUUUGUGUGCCUAGAGCUCUUGGAGCCAGAAGAUGGCCUCAGAUCCCAUGGGACUGGAGUUACAGAUGGUUGUGAGCCACGAUGUGAGUGCUAGGAAUUGAACCUGAGUUCUCUUAACUGCUGAACCAUCCCUUAAGCUCCAUGUAUGAAUGCUUUUGUCUACAUGUAUAUAUGUGUACCAUGUGAUUGCCUGGUACCUUCAGAAGUCAAAAGAGGGCAUUGGAUCCCCUGGAACUGCAGUUAUGGAUGAUUGUAGACCACUGUGUGGGUGCUGGGAUCUGAACCUGGAUCCUCUGAAAGAGCUGCUAGCGAUGGUCUCUGCUGAGCCCCUGAAGGGUGCCAGGCAUAGGGCAUUCUUUCUGAACCACUCUGAAAAUUAACAAGGCUCUCUGGUUUUUCUGAGAGCCUUGAAGAUAUUGGUAAUAGCAAAUAUUUGGUGACACAUGCCUUUAGUCCCAGCACUUGGGAGGCAGAAGUGGGUGGAUCUCUGAGUUUGAAGCCACCUUGAUCUACAGAGAAAGUUCCAAGACAGCCAAGGUUACACAGAGAAACCCUGACUCAAAAAAGAACAAAAAACAAUAAAUAAUAAAUGGAAAUGUUGGGAAUGGAUGAAAAGGAAUGUUCUUUAAAGAGAACUCAAAAGCAUCACUUUCCAAUAAAAUAGAAUAUUUUAAAAA